rnacentral:rRNA from 1 species
UAGUCCACGCCGUAAACGAUGUUCACUCGCUGUUGGCGAUAUACUGUCAGCGGCCAAGCGAAAGCAUUAAGUGAACCACCUGGGGAGUACGAUCGCAAGGUUGAAACUCAAAGGAAUUGACGGGGGCCCGCACAAGCGGUGGAGCAUGUGGAUUAAUUCGAUGAUACGCGAGGAACCUUACCUAGGCUAUAAUGUGAGCGCUAUUUGGUGAAGGCCGAAGUUCCUUCGGGACGUGAAACAAGGUGCUGCAUGGUUGUCGUCAGCUCGUGCCGUGAGGUGUUGGGUUAAGUCCCGCAACGAGCGCAACCCCUAUUUUCAGUUGCCAGCAUUAAGUUGGGGACUCUGGAAAGACUGCCGGCGUAAGCCGCGAGGAAGGUGGGGAUGACGUCAAAUCAUCAUGGCCUUUAUGCCUAGGGCGACACACGUGCUACAAUGGUGCAUACAGAGGGUUGCGAGACCGCGAGGUUUAGCCAAUCCCAGAAAGUGCAUCUCAGUUCGGAUUG